rnacentral:lncRNA from 10 species
CACACUGCCCUGUGGGGUUUAAUUAGGGCUCUGUGAGUUCAUCAGAACCUCAAUUUUCUCAUCCAUGAAAAUGAGGUUAAUGAUGGCUACCUCAGUGGGCUGUCAUGCGAGUUAACUAAAAUAAUCUACUGAGAACACUUAGUCUAGUUCUUGAAAAAGCAGACCUUCAGAAAAUGCUUGCUUUUUUCCGCCUCUUUUGACUCAAUGUCUUUGAUUUGAUAUCUUUGUUAUAUCUUCACAGUAGCAACACACAUAUACUUAAUGACAGGCAACUGGCUAUGGGCCUAAUUUUGUCCUAGGCUGGCUUUGCCACAUCCUAUUUUUUUAUCUGCAGUCUUUUCUCACCCUCCCUCCAUGUCUCUCUAGUGCUCUCCUGGCUCAUGUCCCAUGGAGGAGGAAAGCCUCUGAUCCACUGUGUCACAUUGAGGGAUGGGACAAAUACACGUGUCCCCUUCCAAGAUAUAUCAACAAGAAAAGAGGAGAUGGCAUUGCUUAACCCUAAUGAAUGGUCCUUCCCAUGGGAUACUAGGAAACACAGAAAAUAGGGCACUGGAGGAGAUGCUUGGAGAGCUGAGAUAGAGAGCUAUAGGUAAGUAAAGAGGAGAGCUUACGGGGCGAGCCCUACUUUAAACUCUUGACACUAAUUUUAAGCUCCAUUCACUUCAAAAGUUAAUGGUUGAUCUGGCCGGAGGGGUUUCCAUUUGAGCAACUAGUCAAACCACAGCAGUUGGGAUUAAAAAACAAGGUCAAGUUUGCAUUCAUCCUGCUUGAGCCUUAGCUGAACAAGCCCCAUCAACUGAGCCCUGGGCUGGCAGCACCAGUUCACAGUGGCAGAGUAGAAAAAGCACCAAGUGGGAUGCCAAGAAAACAAUGUUUGAGUCCCAGUUCUGCCUCUGGCUCACUGUGUGACCCUGGGUGAGUCACUUGAUGUCUCUGGGAUUUAGUUGCCAACUUUCGUAAAAUGAGGGGCUGCCUUAGAUGACCGGGAAAGCCCCUCCCAGCAGGAGCCUUAUGUGAUCUGAGCUAUGCUAGCUAAUGAGAAGGCUGGGGAGGGACACCACUCUCUUCUGGCUGUUGUGUCAGCAAAGAUACACUACCAAAUAUGACCCUCCAGUUAGUCACUGAGUCACAAAAGCGGAAGAAGGACUUAAAUGAGGAGCAAAGUUUCUCAGAUCAUAGGGAUAAGACAGAAAGUUGAAAAUAAGGCUUCUGGGCCUCUACUGACUUGGAUGGUAAAGUCAAGGCUGAAAGAUUGGGAAAAAGUCAUGUCAAGAACUUACCUCCAAGGCCAGGCGCAGCGGCUCAUGCCUGUAAUUCCAGCAAUUUGGGAGGCCGAGGUGGAUGGAUCACCUGAGGUCAGGAGUUCGAGAACAGCCUGGUCAACAUGGUGAAACUUUACUAAAAUACAUCUCUGCUAAAAAUACAAAAAUUAGCUGGGUGUGGUCGUGUGUGCCUAUAAUCCCAGCUACUUGGGAGACUGAGGCAGGAUAAUCGCCUGGACCUGGGAGGCAGAGGCUGCAGUCAGCCGAGAACAUGCCACUGCACUCCAGCCUGGGCAACAGAGCAAGACUUCAUCUCAAAAUAAAAAUAAAGAAGUGACCUCCAGCUAACACAACAGCCUAAGGGUACCCAAUAUCUUCAACAGAGACUAGUCCACAUUCUCAGAGAACUUACCAUCGAUAUAAGGAAAUAUAAUACACCUAAUAUGCAAGAGCCUGAGGAUAAUGACUGACUAAUCUGUGGCACUAGCUCUAAUGCAGUGACACUCAGCGGAUGGUUCACAGAUGUCUGGAAUGGCCAGAAAAGCCUCCCUACUGAACAUUGGGAGGGCCUGGAGGAGCUAAUCAAUCUGCCCACCCACCCAUUCUUUUUUGUCUUGGUCCCAGAAAGAGGAACUUUUGCUGACAGAAACUGUUUUGACCACCUUUUCUUGUUGUACUCAGGGCAUCAGUCCCUUCCUUGUUCACAGGGUUGUAUACAAAGUGUCCUAGCCCUCCCCAGCUACAAAUUCCACCCUCAAUCUGCAGUGACAAGAGCGUGACAUGGCGGAGUCUUUCAUCAAGAGAGCAGUAUGUAGCCUCACAAACACAGUACGGGCUGUGUCAACAUGCACAACUCAGUUGCAGAGCAAAUAGUUGAUUUUUUUAGACCAAGUCAAUAAGCUGCUUUUCACAGGGAGAAGAGGGACCAGGAUAGGCACAGUUUAAACAAGAAGACACUCUGCAUUUUACCCUAAAUGUUUCCAUUGUUCUAUAUCUUGCCAGUGGUUGGUAGCAAGUCAAAGCAAAAACUGACAUUUAGUGUUCCAGAGUCUUCUGGAAGAGAGCCAGCUAAUGAAUUACCAGAUGAACAGCUUUUGGCUCACUUAUCAAGGACAAAUCUUAUGCCAGCUGAGAUGCUAAGAUGCUGUUGCAAUAGCAAACUAACAACCACAAUAACAACAACAAUAAUUUACCAGGAUGAUUGCAAGAAUGCAGGACAGACAAUUUUCUUUGUUGGCUGUAAUCUGGAAAUACGUUUAGUUUUGAUUUUUCAUCCACAUUAGAUGCUCAUAACAUGACAUUCUAAACAGAGACAUUUUAGGCUGGAUAUCAACAGAGAAUUAUUUUUAUUCAUCAUUAGUUUCAUCAAAAACUUAACAGCUGAUAUAGAUUUCAUCAAAUGAUGAGGGAGAUUAGUAUGAUGUAAAAAAAUUCACAACAAGGCACAAGGCUCACACCUGUAACCCCAGCACUUUAAGAGGCAGAGGCAGGAGGAUCAGAUUGCUUGAUUCCAGGUGUUCAAGACCCUGUUUCUAUAAAUAAAUAAAUAAAUAAAUAGUGGGGCAUGGUGGGGCACGCCUGUGGUCCCAGCUAAUUCAGAAGCUGAAGUGGGAGGAUCACCUGAGCCUGGGAGGUUGAGCCUGCAGUGAGCCAUGAUCACGCCACUGCACUGCAGCCUGGGUGACAGAGUGAGACCCUUCUAAAAAAAUCACUAUAAAGAUGUAUUUUAUUCUUUUGCUCUGCCUUGUAACACUACCGUUCAUCUAAUACUCAGACAAACUGAGGGUAGAAGAUUCAGGCUUAAUUGUCCCUCCUCUCCACCAAUACCCCCUGUACUAGUCUGAAAUGACAAGGUAGGAGCUCCUCUUAGCAAUAUUUACAGACCAUUCUUCACAUAAAAGAAUAUAAGAACUCUCAAAAAGCUAAAUAAACAGAGUACUCUAAACAAGCCCUCUUCCUGUCCUUUUCUCAGAAGUCUGCUGCAAAGGCUCUUGGUCAGUGCCACAGGCUGUUCUUUUAUCUCAGUAACCGGAGUGCCUUUGCAAAGCUGGCCUGGAGGUCAGGUCUCAGGCUCACUCCCCGGUAUUCAGUGAAUUCUUAGUCAAGUCCAAGCUUGAGUCAGCUGCCUCCAUUGUAACUCUUUUGCAAUUCGAUGGAUAGCUUGGUCCUUAUGUCUUGAGGAUUGGAAUCUCCUGGGCAGGGAUUGGAUUUCACUUUCCAUGUCUACAGUGUUUGCACUAAGGUUAUUAAUAUAUUCUCUACAGGAGGGAUCAUAUUGAGAGCAAGCUGAAAUUCACAUAACAAAGCCUGUGGCUUGAAACUACGCUGGGCCAAGCCCCCAGGGGGAUACUGGGUAACUCUGAGCAGCCAGUCACCCUUGGAGAACAUUGAGAAGCAUCUGAGUCUACCCUUUCUGGGACACAGCAUCUUUCUAUAUUAGACCCACUCUCCCAGACUUCCCACCAUACCUGGAGGUGCCCUGCAACGCCAAUGAGGGAAAAUGUAACCUGAGGAACACUCAUUUCCACCGUGGUGUGAGGGACUCAGAGGAUUCCCUUUCCCAAAGUUCCAUUUAGAAUGAAAUGAAUGAAUAAUUUAUACCAGGGUAAGAGUCAAUAAGACCAUUAAAGGAGCAGGCAACUGUAAUACAAAGAGCACACCCUCUAGGAUCAGACCAGGAUUUGAAACUCAGUUCUGCUCUUUACUAACUGUGUGGCCUUAGGCAAGCAGUUAGCCUACCAGUGCCUCAGUUUCCUCCUCUGUCUCUGUACAAUAGGUAUGAUACUAAUCAACAACCUUGUAAGGUAUGCAUGUAAAGCUAGAGGAUAAUAUACAUAAAAGGCCUUUUACAGGCCCUUACAGAGAAUGGGUAUCCAACAAAUGGCAGUUACUGUUAUUAAACAAAGCAGGAGAGAUGUCUGGGAACUUCUUAAUGUCUUUCAAAUCACAGCCCUAGGUGAAUGUUUAUAUCCAAUCUAGACAAGAAUUACCCUGUUCAAAUACAUCAUUGGAUCUAUACAGAUGUUAUUAUUUUUCAUUGUUUUGUUUUGUUUUUUGAGACAGGGUCUCGCUCUGUUGCCCAGGCUGGAGUGCAGUGGCACAAUCAUGGCUCGCUGCAGCCUCGACCUCCCUGGGCUCAAGCAAUUCUCCCAUCCCAGCCUCCCGAGUAGCUGAGACUGCAGGUGCAUGCCACCACGCCUGGCCAAUGUUUUGUAUUUUUCAUAGAGGCAGGGUUUUGACAUGUUGUCCAGGCUGGUGUUGAGCUCCUGGGCUCAAGCAAUCCUCCCACCUCAGCCUCCUGGGUUGCUGGGACUACAGGUGCAUGCCUCUAUGCCUGGCUAAUUUUUGUAUAUUUUGUAGAAACAGAGUUUCACCGUGUUGCCCAAGCUGUUCUAGAACUUCUGGGCUCAAGCAAUCCUCCCAGCUUGGCCUCCCAAAGUGCUGGGAUUACAGAUGUGAACCGCCAUGCCCAGCUUAUACAUACGUUUUAAUACUUUUCUGCCUUCAUGUUUUUAAUAACCCAAGUAAGGCUUGACUGAAACUCUUUGUAAAUGUUCAAAUAUCAUAGAAGGUGCAAAAAUUCCUCUUGACCCCCAUACAAUUCCAUUCCCUUCCCCUGAGGUAGCUGCUGUUUUCAGUUUGUUUUGUAUGUUGGAGGGCCUUUAUUGUAACCAAGUACACAUAUGAAUACACAUAUUAAAAUAAAGAAUGUUGUUUUUGUGGGUUUUUUUUGAAAAGGAAAAUGUAUGUUUUGGAU